rnacentral:rRNA from 1 species
GACGAACGCUGGCGGCGUGCUUAACACAUGCAAGUCGAACGGAAAGGCCUCUUUCGGGGGGUACUCGAGUGGCGAACGGGUGAGUAACACGUGAGUAACCUGCCCUUGACUUUGGGAUAACUUCAGGAAACUGGGGCUAAUACCGGAUAGGAGCUCCUGCUGCAUGGUGUGGGUUGGAAAGUUUCGGCGGUUGGGGGUGGACUCGCGGCUUAUCAGCUUGUUGGUGGGGUAGUGGCUUACCAAGGCUUUGACGGGUAGCCGGCCUGAGAGGGUGACCGGCCAAAUUGGGACUGGGAUACGGCCCAGAAUCCUACGGGAGGGAGGAGGGGGGAAUAUUGCACAAUGGGUGGGAGCCUGAUGGAGCAACGCCGUGGGCGGGAUGACGGGCUUCGGGUUGUAAACCGCUUUCGCUCAUGACGAAGCUUUGUGUGACGGUAGUGGGUAAAGAAGCACCGGCUAACUACGUG